rnacentral:rRNA from 1 species
AUCGAACGCUGGCGGCAUGCCUAACACAUGCAAGUCGAGCGGAGCGGCGGACGGGUGGGUAAUGCCGAGGAAUCAGCCUGGUAGUGGGCGAUAACGUCGGGAAAGGUGCGAUAAGACCGCAUACUAUCAGAUGAGCCUCGGGCGGAUUUGCUAGUUGGUGGGGUAACGGCUUACCAAGGCGACGAUCCGUAGCUGGGCUGAGAGGAUGAUCAGUCACACUGGAACUGAGACACGGUCCAGACUCCUACGGGAGGCAGCAGUGGGGAAUAUUCGGCAAUGGGCGAAAGCCUGACCCAGCCAUGCCGCGUGUGUGAAGAAGGUCUUCGGAUUGUAAAGCUCUUUAAGUUGGGAGGCGUUACCAAAAGAAUAAGCACCGGCUAACUUCGUGCCAGCCGCCGCGGUAAUUC